CCCCCCCCCCCCGCGACCCCAAAAGGGACAAGUGGUAGAAAAUGGAUGGAUAUUGCUUACAAAGUCAAGUCAAACAGGUGUCGCAUCAUAAAUCUUCCCUAAGGCUUUGAACACUCGAGCCCACCUCCUGCGAGCCGGAGAGUAACGGGGCACCGUGCAUCCGAAAUAUCAACGGUGCCAGGUUGAAAGGCACAAAAUAAGAGAUGCCUUAAUGGUGCGAGGGCUGACAUGUUUGCCUUCUGGGAAUCCGGCUGCUUUGGGGAAGAAGAAGAAGAAAAAGACGAAGAGGCACCGGUUCCUCCCAAGGGUGCCUCACACAGAGUUAAGCUCGUCAACAGAGCCCGCCUGUCCGAGCCCCAAUGAACACACACAUCCACUGGACAGCUCCAGCACCUUCUCAUUAGGGUCCAAUCUCUCACAGGCCGCUCGCUCAGAACCACGGCAACGUGGCCGCCCGUGCUGGCGAGGCAACCCC